GUGCUGGAAUUUCAGCCUGAUUGUCCCAAAGCCUCUGUUCUUUUUACCCCACCAAACACACAAAUGCAGUUUCUUUUGUCAUUAGCCCAGUGCUUUUCCCUUGGAGUAGAUACAGUAGAUGCUGAUUUUUGCCUUCAUCAGCAAAAGUCUUUACCCCAGACACAUAACUGGAGAUCAGUCAUAGAACAGAGAGCACUAAUGUAGAAGGGCACAGGUCCCUUUGAUUACUGAACACUCAGGUCACUCGGAAGAGUGGAAGCCUCAUCAGAAACCUUCGGGUUUGACAGGACAUCUGUUUCCAGGAGCACGGUGGGUGUAAACAGAGCAGCUGCCAGCCUCUGUCCUGGUUGGGGUUUUGUGUUUGCUGGUUUUUCUUUUUUUUUUUUUUUAAACACAUUAUACUCUAUUAAAACCACCCCUAUUUGGCAUCAAAAGCAUUAAUAAAUCCCACAUAAGGCACAGUCCCUCCAGUGGUUAAUCAAUCCAUAAAAAUCUAUUUAGCACCUACUGUGUGUCCAGCAUUUCAAUCCCAUGACGUUGAUUAAAGCAGGAAGUAAGGAGUCACAGCUGCCAAAUUUUCACCAUGGCCACCGUGCUCUGUGAUGUGUCACAAAGGCAUUUGCCAAUCAUGCAAUCAACCAUUUACUGAGAACCUGCUUUGUUGCUCAACUCUGUGCUGGCGACUCUCAGGAAGACAGGGAAGGGCUACCUGGUUUCUGCCUGAGCAGCAAGUGAUGAAGGAGAGUGAGCGUAUGAGAGAGUAAGAGAGUGAGCCCAAUCGUGGACUGACCACACAAUUGACCCUGGUUUACUGUGAGAAAGGACACAGACUGUGAACACCAGGAGGUAGGGAUCAUUGGAUGCCAUCUUGGAGGCUGGCUACCUCAACAAUCAUCUUAGAUUCCAUGAUUUCUAGACAAUGGAAGGAUGACAGGACGUAUUUCCCAGAUUUCAGUAAUUCAGGCUUCUGACAGUCCCCAAGAAAUCAGAGGACAUGAGACUCCAAAAAGAAGAGAGAUGGCUCAAGAAGGUGGGAGAACUCCUGGUAGAAUUCCAAAUGUGUAAAUUGCCAGUGCACUUGAAGAGAAAUAGUAAGGUGGGAACAGGUUGCUGAUGAGACCAGGGCAGCUCCUGGAGAAGCUCAACUUUGAGUAGAGCUGGCAAAAGGGAAAACAAGGAGCGAUAGGUGUAGCAGAGUCACACAAGCCUAGUUUGCUAAUUAGGUCUAAUAAAUUAAGGCAGUGAAAUUGUAAGGAUAACAACAACCAAAAAAAGCUUUUUUUUUUUUUGACAUGGGCAGAAAAUCAAGAAAGGAACUGCUCUGUGAUUGUGGUCAGUUUCUGUGGCGCCAGCUCUUCCUGACUGCCUGACAACCACGAUGUACCAGGCAAGGUGUGAAGUGCAGAGUACACAAAGGAAAGGUCACUGCCCUCAAAGGUCUCCCAAUCAAAUGGGAACGCAAAUGCAAAAUGCCAUUCAGCAUAAUCAAUACCAUAAUGAGAUUCUGGCCAGGAAGGUCAGGGACACGAGGAAAGGCUCUGCAGUGCUACCUGGGGCAGGUGGGUCAGGGAUGACCUGGUCGAAGAGAUUACACUUGAACUGAGUCUCAAAGGAUCAGCAGGAAUUCGCCAAGUGAACCAAGGGAGAAAGGGCAGAGAAAAAGGAGACACCCAGCACAGAGGCGUGAAGUAGCCUGGCAGGCUGGGGAGCUGCUAGUGUUUUAUAUGAUUAGAGCAAGGUGGAGGUGCAGACAGGGCUGGGGAGAACUGUGGAACCCACUUCGCAAGGCCUUGGGUGCCUGUACUGGGAGUGGACACGGCAGUGUUGGUCAAAAUGGGGUCUUACAUCAGAAUCUCCUGGGAGGUUCAUGAAAAUGCAGUUUCUUAAGCCUUAUCUUAUGUCCAUAUGGGCAGACUGCUCAGCAUAACUCUCUUUUCUUCCUGAGCUUGACUACAUUUCCCAGCGUCCUUUGGAGUGAGACUACAUCUCCCAGCAUCCUGGCAGUUAGACAAUUUUCUAGUCUCCUUUGCAGGGAUCUUGGAAGCCCCAUGUUGAAGGUGGCAGAGCAACAAAAAUUGAGGAAACCCUGAAUCCCUGAAUUACUAUUUGGAGAUGACCACCCACUAAUUCGGAACACUCAUUAUUGGGCUUUAGGAGAAUGAGAAGUUCUAUCAUGUUUGAGACUCCGUACAUCUUUGGAUUUGUUUUAACAGCUAGUUUUACCCUGGCUAACAUGGCAAUUGACAGCCUCUGAGAGGAGAUUUGGAGAAUCUGCUUUUUUAACAAGUACUCCAGGGGAGUUUGAGAAUCACUGCUGAAAGCCAAGGGGAGCCAGCCACCCAAGGAUUUAACGCUGACCAAGGAACACCACGCUAUUUGCAUUUUAGAAUGACAGCAAGGGAGCAGAACUCUGCCCCCUUCUUGUCUGCCAAGGAGAACAAUCUACUGACUCAAAAGAAAAAGAAAACUUUGGUAAGAGAAAAUUGAAGCUCUAGAUGAGUGAAAAGAUUCUAACAGCACCAAGCUGCCGUAAAUGAGCUCAAGUCUCCUGGCCAGGACAAAUUACACUCCAGGGAGUAGAGAGAACUCGCCUCUGAAGCUGUAAAGCCUCUGCUGAUAAUCUUUACAGAACAUGGAGACUGUGAAAGAAAUUGGAACGCUAGAAAUGGCAAAAUAUAGCUCUGAUUAGUAAAGAGGGGGAAAGCUUCUGCAAACUACAAAAGUGGGGCUAUCCUAUCCAUCCUCAUUAAAUUCCCUGAUCAGACUACUUAAGGCUGAGCUGUGAGUACGUGAAAAAUGGAGCAGAAUCCUCUAGAAGCCUGUGUGGGUUCUUUAAGAGCAAGCCACGACAAGAUGAAAAAACAAGAGCCUAAAGAAGGGAGGCAACUUUUCCAAAGCCACACAUUAAACCUGUGGCAGUUAAGAGCCAGAACUGUGGUAUCCUGGCCCUCAGCCCCACACCUCUACUGCAAUACCUGGGAUGUGGGCCCAUGGAUUGAUUUAUGGAUUUUGACUAACAUAUCUUCAAUUGAGCAAUCACUCGGAUGAUCGAUUGAACACUCCUUCACCAAACAAGGCUGGAGGCCUGGGAUGGACGCCGGUGGUUUGAGAUAUGCAGAAGAAAUGGGUCCUGCCCUCCGGAACACUCCAGAGAAUAUCAUGGCACUUUAUAACAUCAGUGUCAAUCAGCAUUGAUUGACAAGCCCCCUGGACUUUGGAUGACUUCUCUGAAGCCCCAGCUGUGCCUGGCUGGGCCAUCUCCCUUCUCCACUUGGCCACAGCAUAAACUGCAGUCAAGCCACAGGAGUGACCUCAAGGCCUCAGGCCACUUUUCCAGCCUCAGCUUUUCUUAGGGGCCCAGCCCACUUACAAUAGAAAUUUGCCAAAGACUGGGUUGGUAAGUAAUGGAUAAGUUUUCAUAUUUACUAUUUUCAUUUCUGAAUCUCUCUUUACAUGCAGUUAAGCCAGGAAAUCCUGAAAGAACACUCUUCAGAAUGUUUUUAAGUAAAACAACAAGUUUCUGUUAAUUUAGGGCCAACCCAUGAGUAAACA
rnacentral:lncRNA from 1 species